GACGAACGCUGGCGGCGUGCCUAAUACAUGCAAGUAGAACGCAGUUGCGGACGUGUGAGUGACGCGUAGGUAACUGGCUCAUAACGUGGGAUAACUAUUUGAAAAGAUGGCUAAUACGCCAAUCUGUAAGAUUAGCCUGCGUUGUAUUAGCUUGUUGGUGAGGUAAAGGCCCACCAAGGCACCGAUACAUAGCCGACCUGAGAGGGUGAUCGGCCACACUGGGACUGAGACACGGCCCAGACUCCUACGGGAGGCAGCAGUAGGGAAUCUUCGGCAAUGGGCGGAAGUCUGACCGAGCAACGCCGCGUGAGUGAAGAAGGUUUUCGGAUCGUAAAGCUCUGUUGUUAGGGAAGCGGUACCUAACCAGAAAGGGACGGCUAACUACGUGCCAGCAGCCGCGGUAAUUC
rnacentral:rRNA from 1 species